CUCAUCCAUAGUUGAAUCAUCCUUUGAGCCAACUUCUUCAGCCCAAGCCUUCUUAGUGUCUUUAUCUACCUUUUGCAGAAGCAGGUUAAUGAGCCAUGGAUCUCGUGAACUGGAGUCUAAAGCCUUAAGCCCCGUAUGGCUUCAUCCGCCCAUUGGUAAUCUUACGAAGCGAUUGAAGAUUUUUCGCAUUGCACGACGCUGACGGUAGCUACGACUGAAUAAACGAACGUACAGUAAGAUGUUUCUGAUCGCAACGUUGUUUUAGUUUUGACCACAUAGUUGUUUUCCGAACAUCUAAUAUUCUUGAGAAGAUUCGCGGCUUCUCCACGAAGAAACGAUUUUAAAAAGUAACUGAUUCGUGGUAACUUAAAAGACUUGUGAGCGAUUUCUAAAUCUGAAUCUUCCGAUAGUGUAUGAUAACCUCCUCUUCAUGCAAAGCUUAAGGUACUCCAUAGGCGUUUUUCUUAUUUUGUUCAGAGCAGAGCCUGAUAUGUCAAACAAAAAAUUGAGUAUCUUUUGAAAUGGACGAGAAAUAUGACUGUCCUUCAAAAACAAAUCUAUUGCAUUUCUUAUUUAUAUUUGUAACAAGUUUUUCUAGUUGAAUUUAUGCUUUGAAUCUUAUUUAGGAGUGUUUCAAAAUUAAGUCUGAACGAUUUGUUCAGAGGAUGUCCAGAGCAUAGAGAAAUGUAUCUAGCAAGAGAACCGACUUAUGGGUUUUGAUCUCUUUCGACCUUCAAGCUGCACUGAAGGAAUUUUUUCCGUAAGCGUGACAUGUGUUAGUUUCCCGUGCAUUUCUUAUGUUAAAAUCCCGAUUCUCUGUAGUUGUUAAGGGCUUUUGAUCUUAGUUUGCACAAUUUGGGGGGAAAACAAUGUGGGUUGAACUCAACCAUUCAAAAAAGAGAUCCGUUAAAUUCAAAAACUAAAAAUGCAUUAUUUUGAGAAAAAUGAAUUGUGCAACUUUUUUCAGUAAGAACUGUGCUAAAAAUAAUAUUUGACUGCUUUUGGGAAGCAAUUUCUAUGAUUUAUAUGAAAAGUUUCGCUAAACACAGAAAACAUCAUGCAGAAAGUAUAGGCACACCCUAGAACUGCAAUGCAAACGUGGCCCAGUUUGAGUUAAGCUCAGUUUUGAAAGAUUAACCACGAGAUAAAGAGGAAAUCAUGGAGAAUGUUGCAACAGAAGAAGUGGAAUUCCCUAAAGGAAGCUACCAACGCCAAUAUGUCUAUUCUGGAGUGAAAAAUUAAUCGCAACGAAGAAGUACAAGUUCAAGAAAUUACACUUCACGACAAGAUUCAGUUCGAUAACACGAAGAGAAAGCAUUGUGUUACAAGUUGUUCCGGUUGAGUGGUCUUGGUUCGGAUACAACGUCAUCCCCAGCUCGUCACAGUCAAGAAGAACUACUCUAAUGAAACGUGUGGCACCCUGUAAAGCAACCACCGGCCGAUUCAUCAACCGAGAGCACGCGAGAGACCUCUCAGUCGGUAUUGAGUAGUGCAGCAAAGCAGACUUAAAUAGAAAUAAA